rnacentral:rRNA from 1 species
CUGGUUGAUCCUGCCAGUAGUCAUAUGCUUGUCUCAAAGAUUAAGCCAUGCAUGUCUAAGUACAUACUUUUGCACGGUGAAACCGCGAAUGGCUCAUUAAAUCAGUUAUGGUUCCUUAGAUAGUUCAUAUUACAUGGAUAACUGUGGUAAUUCUAGAGCUAAUACAUGCAAAAAGCUCCGACCGUAUGGGAAGAGCGCUUUUAUUAGGCCAAAACCAAUGGGAUCGCAAGAUUCCUUUGUAUGGUGACUCUGGAUAACUUUGUGCAGAUCGCAUGGCCUAGAGCCGGCGACGUAUCUUUCAAAUGUCUGCCCUAUCAACUUUCGAUGGUAAGCGAUAUGCCUACCAUGGUUGUAACGGGUAACGGGGAAUCAGGGUUCGAUUCCGGAGAGGGAGCAUGAGAAAUGGCUACCACAUCUACGGAAGGCAGCAGGCGCGCAAAUUACCCACUCCUAGAUCGGGGAGGUAGUGACGAAAAAUAACAAUACCGGACUCAAUGAGGCUCGGUAAUUGAAAUGAGUACAGUUUAAAACCCUUAACGAGGAUCUAUUGGAGGGCAAGUCUGGU